AACGAACGCUGGCGGCAUGCCUAACACAUGCAAGUCGAACGAGAUCUUCGGGUCUAGUGGCGCACGGGUGCGUAACGCGUGGGAAUCUGCCCUUUGGUUCGGAAUAACAGUUGGAAACGACUGCUAAUACCGGAUGAUGACGAAAGUCCAAAGAUUUAUCGCCAGAGGAUGAGCCCGCGUAGGAUUAGCUAGUUAGUGUGGUAAAGGCGCACCAAGGCGACGAUCCUUAGCUGGUCUGAGAGGAUGAUCAGCCACACUGGGACUGAGACACGGCCCAGAAUCCUACGGGAGGCAGCAGUGGGGAAUAUUGGACAAUGGGCGAAAGCCUGAUCCAGCGAUGCCGCGUGAGUGAUGAAGGCCUUAGGGUUGUAAAGCUCUUUUACCCGGGAUGAUAAUGACAGUACCGGGAGAAUAAGCUCCGGCUAACUCCGUGCCAGCCGCCGCCGUAA
rnacentral:rRNA from 1 species